AUCAGCCUGGUGGAAAGGUAUACACGGCUUUCUUAAGAAGAGCUGCUAAUAGCAUAUAGGUUCAAAUCCUAUGGCUGAUA
rnacentral:tRNA from 1 species